UCUCCGUUGGUGAACCAGCGGAGGGAUCAUUACAGGACUCGCAAGACUCCUUCACCCUGUGAACCUCACUACAAGCACGUUGCUUCGGCGGGUGUCCCGGCGGCGGAUUUCCCUCUCCGGGGCGCACAGCCCGCCGGCACCCUACUAUACUCUGUAUCUUUGCGUUGGCAUCUCGAGAAAAAACAAACAAGUUAAAACUUUCAACAACGGAUCUCUUGGUUCUG
rnacentral:misc_RNA from 1 species